GAUACGGGUGGUUCUAAAGGAUCUCAAGAUAAAAGGUUUAGUUUUUUUUAAAAAGUUGACGAGAAAGAAGAGGAAGAUGCAGAAGCCGUGGCCUUCCUGGAGCCCCAGAUGUCAGCAGGCCAGAUGGGGCAGCGCCCAGGCCGCCCCCCCGGCCCCUCCAGGCCCCCCUCGCCUCACCGCCAGCCCCUCCCCUCCACUGCCCGAACCCCAGGCCCACGGGAUGUUAUAAGGCCCUACUCUCUGGCUUGGCUCCGUUGCAGCUGAUUCAAAGCCUCAGAAUGGUGCAACGGGGUGGAAGUUGGGGAGGAACUGCUCCCUGAGCCUCCGUCCAGGCCGGCAAUGUGAAAGGUUUUGUGCAUCUAAUGGUGACAAGGACAAAGUAAAUGCCAGCACCUCUGCCUUCAGAGAUGGAGACCCAGCAGGACAAGCAUGAGAAUCUCACCGAUUUACUCCCAAGAAACUGGUGAACAAAACGAAAAUAUUUAACGUUUCUGGAGGUGGUCCAGAAGGUGGACAGAAAUGAAGAAACAGCUGUUUAAGAACAUUUUUGAACAUUUGGGGAACCGAAUAGGACGAACAGCUGACUUCUCAGCAUAAACCAUGGGGGACAGAAGGCGGUGGGAUGACACCUCCAAAAUGCUCCAAAAGCUGACAUCCAAGAAUCCUACAUCCGGCAAUGCUCUCUCCUCUCUUUUCCAGAACGAAGGUGAGAUCAAUAUUUUCCCAGGUAAACAAAAGAGGAUAAAACCUCACCAUCUGCAGCAAUGUGAGUGCACCAUGAGGGCAUCAUGCUCCUUAAAAUAAGUCUGAUAGACAGACAAAUACCAUAGGGCAUGAUUUCACUUCGAUACACAAUCAAAAACCAAAACUCAAAAACAAAUAACAAUGACCACUCCCCCCACCCCGGCCAGUCUCAAAGAUACAGAGAACAGAUUGGUGGGUGCUACAAGUGGGGGGUUGGGUGUUGGCAAAAUGGGUGACGGAAGUUAAAAAGCACAAACUUGCAGUUACCAAGGCAUCACAGGAAAGAAUGUCAGCAUGGUGGCAACAGUUAAUCGUAUUGUAUUGCAUAUUUGCAAGUUCCUGGGCGUAGACCUUAAAAUCUCCAUGGCGAGAAUAAAAAAUAAUAAUUAA